rnacentral:rRNA from 1 species
AACGCGAAGAACCUUACCUGGGUUUGACAUCCUCUGACAGCUCUAGAGAUAGAGUUUUCGUAGCAAUACGACAGAGAGACAGGUGCUGCAUGGCUGUCGUCAGCUCGUGUGGUGACAUGUUGGGUUAAGUCCCGCAACGAGCGCAACCCUUGUCUUUAGUUGCCAGCAUUCAGUUGGGCACUCUAAAGAGACUGCCGUGGUUAACACGGAGGAAGGUGGGGAUGACGUCAAGUCCUCAUGGCCUUUAUAUCCAGGGCGACACACGUGAUACAAUGGUCGGUACAGAGGGAAGCGAAAGGGUGACCUGGAGCUAAUCUCAAAAAGCCGAUCUCAGUUCGGAUUGGAGUCUGCAACUCGACUCCAUGAAGUUGGAAUCGCUAGUAAUCGCGGAUCAGCACGCCGCGGUGAAUACGUUCCCGGGCCUUGUACACACCGGUACUA